GACGAACGCUGGCGGCGUGCCUAAUACAUGCAAGUCGAGCGGACUUUCAAGAAGCUUGCUUUUUGAAAGUUAGCGGCGGACGGGUGAGUAACACGUGGGCAACCUGCCUGCAAGACGGGGAUAACUCCGGGAAACCGGGGCUAAUACCGGAUAAUAUCUUCCUUCGCAUGAAGGAAGGUUGAAAGGCGGCGCAAGCUGCCGCUUGCAGAUGGGCCCGCGGCGCAUUAGCUAGUUGGUGAGGGAACGGCUCGCCAAGGCGACGAUGCGUAGCCGACCUGAGAGGGUGAUCGGCCACACUGGGACUGAGACACGGCCCAGACUCCUACGGGAGGCAGCAGUAGGGAAUCUUCCGCAAUGGACGAAAGUCUGACGGAGCAACGCCGCGUGAGCGAAGAAGGUCUUCGGAUCGUAAAGCUCUGUUGUCAGGGAAGAACAAGUACCGUUCGAACAGGGCGGUACCUUGACGGUACCUGACCAGAAAGCCACGGCUAACUACGUG
rnacentral:rRNA from 1 species